rnacentral:miRNA from 1 species
CUUUCACCUCUGAAUAUUCACU